GGUUAAGCGACUAAGCGUACACGGUGGAUGCCCUGGCAGUCAGAGGCGAUGAAGGGCGUGCUAAUCUGCGAUAAGCGCCGGUAAGGUGAUAUGAACCGUUAUAACCGGCGAUACCCGAAUGGGGAAACCCAGUGUGACUCGUCACACUAUCAUUAACUGAAUCCAUAGGUUAAUGAGGCGAACCGGGGGAACUGAAACAUCUAAGUACCCCGAGGAAAAGAAAUCAACCGAGAUUCCCCCAGUAGCGGCGAGCGAACGGGGAGGAGCCCAGAGCCUGAAUCAGCAUGUGUGUUAGUGGAAGCGUCUGGAAAGGCGCGCGAUACAGGGUGACAGCCCCGUACACAAAAGCGCAUGUGCUGUGAGCUCGAUGAGUAGGGCGGGACACGUGGUAUCCUGUCUGAAUAUGGGGGGACCAUCCUCCAAGGCUAAAUACUCCUGACUGACCGAUAGUGAACCAGUACCGUGAGGGAAAGGCGAAAAGAACCCCGGCGAGGGGAGUGAAAAAGAACCUGAAACCGUGUACGUACAAGCAGUGGGAGCACAGGUUUACCUGUGUGACUGCGUACCUUUUGUAUAAUGGGUCAGCGACUUAUAUUCUGUAGCAAGGUUAACCGAAUAGGGGAGCCGGAGGGAAACCGAGUCUUAACCGGGCGUUAAGUUGCAGGGUAUAGACCCGAAACCCGGUGAUCUAGCCAUGGGCAGGUUGAAGGUUGGGUAACACUAACUGGAGGACCGAACCGACUAAUGUUGAAAAAUUAGCGGAUGACCUGUGGCUGGGGGUGAAAGGCCAAUCAAACCGGGAGAUAGCUGGUUCUCCCCGAAAGCUAUUUAGGUAGCGCCUCGUGAAUUCAUCUCCGGGGGUAGAGCACUGUUUCGGCUAGGGGGCCAUCCCGGCUUACCAACCCGAUGCAAACUGCGAAUACCGGAGAAUGUUAUCACGGGAGACACACGGCGGGUGCUAACGUCCGUCGUGAAGAGGGAAACAACCCAGACCGCCAGCUAAGGUCCCAAAGUCAUGGUUAAGUGGGAAACGAUGUGGGAAGGCCCAGACAGCCAGGAUGUUGGCUUAGAAGCAGCCAUCAUUUAAAGAAAGCGUAAUAGCUCACUGGUCGAGUCGGCCUGCGCGGAAGAUGUAACGGGGCUAAACCAUGCACCGAAGCUGCGGCAGCGAACGUAUCACUUAAAGCGAUUCAGCGGGUUACGAUUGACGGAGCGAAGCGACGUCAAAGCGUAUACAAAGUCGAGUCGGUUUAAGGAUACGUUCGUUGGGUAGGGGAGCGUUCUGUAAGCCUGCGAAGGUGGCCUGUGAGGGUUGCUGGAGGUAUCAGAAGUGCGAAUGCUGACAUAAGUAACGAUAAAGCGGGUGAAAAGCCCGCUCGCCGGAAGACCAAGGGUUCCUGUCCAACGUUAAUCGGGGCAGGGUGAGUCGACCCCUAAGGCGAGGCCGAAAGGCGUAGUCGAUGGGAAACGGGUUAAUAUUCCCGUACUUGGUGUUACUGCGAAGGGGGGACGGAGAAGGCUAUGUUGGCCGGGCGACGGUUGUCCCGGUUUAAGCGUGUAGGUGUGUGUUCCAGGUAAAUCCGGUUCACUUUAACACUGAGGCGUGAUGACGAGGCACUACGGUGCUGAAGUAACAAAUGCCCUGCUUCCAGGAAAAGCCUCUAAGCAUCAGGUAACAUCAAAUCGUACCCCAAACCGACACAGGUGGUCAGGUAGAGAAUACCAAGGCGCUUGAGAGAACUCGGGUGAAGGAACUAGGCAAAAUGGUGCCGUAACUUCGGGAGAAGGCACGCUGACACGUAGGUGAAGUGAUUUACUCACGGAGCUGAAGUCAGUCGAAGAUACCAGCUGGCUGCAACUGUUUAUUAAAAACACAGCACUGUGCAAACACGAAAGUGGACGUAUACGGUGUGACGCCUGCCCGGUGCCGGAAGGUUAAUUGAUGGGGUCAGCGCAAGCGAAGCUCCUGAUCGAAGCCCCGGUAAACGGCGGCCGUAACUAUAACGGUCCUAAGGUAGCGAAAUUCCUUGUCGGGUAAGUUCCGACCUGCACGAAUGGCGUAAUGAUGGCCAGGCUGUCUCCACCCGAGACUCAGUGAAAUUGAACUCGCUGUGAAGAUGCAGUGUACCCGCGGCAAGACGGAAAGACCCCGUGAACCUUUACUAUAGCUUGACACUGAACAUUGAGCCUUGAUGUGUAGGAUAGGUGGGAGGCUUUGAAGUGUGGACGCCAGUCUGCAUGGAGCCGACCUUGAAAUACCACCCUUUAAUGUUUGAUGUUCUAACGUGGACCCGUUACCCGGGUUGCGGACAGUGUCUGGUGGGUAGUUUGACUGGGGCGGUCUCCUCCUAAAGAGUAACGGAGGAGCACGAAGGUUGGCUAAUCCUGGUCGGACAUCAGGAGGUUAGUGCAAUGGCAUAAGCCAGCUUGACUGCGAGCGUGACGGCGCGAGCAGGUGCGAAAGCAGGUCAUAGUGAUCCGGUGGUUCUGAAUGGAAGGGCCAUCGCUCAACGGAUAAAAGGUACUCCGGGGAUAACAGGCUGAUACCGCCCAAGAGUUCAUAUCGACGGCGGUGUUUGGCACCUCGAUGUCGGCUCAUCACAUCCUGGGGCUGAAGCAGGUCCCAAGGGUAUGGCUGUUCGCCAUUUAAAGUGGUACGCGAGCUGGGUUUAGAACGUCGUGAGACAGUUCGGUCCCUAUCUGCCGUGGGCGCUGGAGAACUGAGGGGGGCUGCUCCUAGUACGAGAGGACCGGAGUGGACGCAUCACUGGUGUUCGGGUUGUCAUGCCAAUGGCACUGCCCGGUAGCUAAAUGCGGAAGAGAUAAGUGCUGAAAGCAUCUAAGCACGAAACUUGCCCCGAGAUGAGUUCUCCCUGAGACUUAGAGUCUCCUGAAGGAACGUUGAAGACGACGACGUUGAUAGGCCGGGUGUGUAAGCGCAGCGAUGCGUUGAGCUAACCGGUACUAAUGAACCGUGAGGCUUAACCUU
rnacentral:rRNA from 1 species